CCAAAGUGCUGGGAUUACAGGCAUGCACCACCGCGCCAGGCCUCAACCCCUAAUUUUUCCAUUAUGGAGUCAAAAAGUUCCCUUGUCUGCUUGAAUCAUGGUGUGGUGGGCUUCUGUUUGGGGCCACCAGCCGUGUCCUCCAUGGUGCCAAUGGGGAUCACUGAUGGGGCAGCUUAAAAGAAUCUCUCCCGGUCCCGCCUUCUGUGACUCAAAAGGGCAUCCUGUGGGGCCUGUGGACCUGUGACCGCCAGCACCUCCACCAACCCCUCCCCACCCCCCACCAGGCAACUCCCCACUCCUGGACCACCCCAUGCACGGGGAGAAGAAGGGGAAAGUCAGAGGUGAGGGUGGGAGGUUGGGUCAGUCAAACGCUGAUUGGGUUACCUCACGCUGGACAGGAAGUGACUGAGGGUUGGGGAGCACAGGGGCCUGGAGACCCCCAUCACCCCAGUACUGGGGUAUGUGGCCCCGGUCUUUGCUGCACGCCCCAGGCCGUCUUCCUUGUUGCCUCAGGCUCC
rnacentral:lncRNA from 10 species